rnacentral:rRNA from 1 species
UUUUCGGCUUGGGAUGGGCUCGCGGCCUAUCAGCUUGUUGGUGGGGUGAUGGCCUACCAAGGCGACGACGGGUAGCCGGCCUGAGAGGGCGACCGGCCACACUGGGACUGAGACACGGCCCAGACUCCUACGGGAGGCAGCAGUGGGGAAUAUUGCACAAUGGGCGGAAGCCUGAUGCAGCGACGCCGCGUGAGGGAUGACGGCCUUCGGGUUGUAAACCUCUUUCAGCAGGGACGAAGCGUAAGUGACGGUACCUGCAGAAGAAGCGCCGGCCAACUACGUGCCAGCAGCCGCGGUAAGACGUAGGGCGCGAGCGUUGUCCGGAUUUAUUGGGCGUAAAGAGCUCGUAGGCGGCUUGUCGCGUCGACCGUGAAAACCUGGGGCUCAACCCCAGGCCUGCGGUCGAUACGGGCAGGCUAGAGUUCGGUAGGGGAGACUGGAAUUCCUGGUGUAGCGGUGAAAUGCGCAGAUAUCAGGAGGAACAGCGGUGGCGAAGGCGGGUCUCUGGGCCGAUACUGACGCUGAGGAGCGAAAGCGUGGGGAGCGAACA